ensembl:lncRNA
CCCCCGAACUAUGCUGCAGUCAUGAGCCCAGAGGAAAAAAAAGGGGUCACCACAGCAGAGUGAUCCGCACAACCGAUUUGGCACAUGUUUUACGCUGGAUGCCCUGCGAGAAACCAGUCUAAUUCUACCAUCGACUGGAUGACUUCACCUCACUGCCAAUACGAUGUCGUCACUCAGCGGCGUGCUUUAGUCAUCAGAUGGACCAACUGAGGUCUGCAGACUAAACACAGACCGUUAUGAAUCUCCUGCUGCACUGACUGAGGCUGAAGUCACAUUAGUUGCUGAUAAAUGUGAAAUGCUAAUCACUCUCUCCGGAACGCUGGUAAAAAAAGAUUUGUCAAAAGCAAUCUCCAUUAGGAGCUCUAAAAGCAAACACAGCCUAUUCUAAGGGAUUUUAAAACUCAUUCUCAGACACAAAUGAAUGUAAAUAAUUGUGUGUACUCUGAGAAUAACUUUGAAAUCAAUGUUAAAUGCUAUUUGUGUCAUUUGUGAUGGUUAGCUAAACUAUGUUGAAAUGAAAUGAACCGUCAGACUACCUUUAUACAUUUUCUAAACAAAAUGUGAUAAAUGCAUGACUAUCUGCAACUCGCCAC